GCAWGWCGAACGAACUCUGGUAUUGAUUGGUGCUUGCAUCAUGAUUUACAUUUGAGUGAGUGGCGAACUGGUGAGUAACACGUGGGAAACCUGCCCAGAAGMGGGGGAUAACACCUGGAAACAGAUGCUAAUACCGCAUAACAACUUGGACCGCAUGGUCCGAGUUUGAAAGAUGGCUUCGGCUAUCACUUYUGGAUGGUCCCGCGGCGUAUUAGCUAGAUGGUGAGGUAACGGCUCACCAUGGCAAUGAUACGUAGCCGACCUGAGAGGGUAAUCGGCCACAUUGGGACUGAGACACGGCCCAAACUCCUACGGGAGGCAGCAGUAGGGAAUCUUCCACAAUGGACGAAAGUCUGAUGGAGCAACSCCGCGUGAGUGAAGAAGGGUUUCGGCUCGUAAAACUCUGUUGUUAAAGAAGAACAUAUCUGAGAGUAACUGUUCAGGUAUUGACGGUAUUUAACCAGAAAGCCACGGCUAACUACGUGCCAGCCGCCGCGGUAAUWCGGUCAUAGC
rnacentral:rRNA from 2 species